rnacentral:rRNA from 1 species
ACGUUGAAAAGUGAGCGGAUGAACUGAGGGUAGCGGAGAAAUUCCAAUCGAACCUGGAGAUAGCUGGUUCUCUCCGAAAUAGCUUUAGGGCUAGCCUCAAGUGAUGAUUAUUGGAGGUAGAGCACUGUUUGGACGAGGGGCCCCUCUCGGGUUACCGAAUUCAGACAAACUCCGAAUGCCAAUUAAUUUAACUUGGGAGUCAGAACAUGGGUGAUAAGGUCCGUGUUCGAAAGGGAAACAGCCCAGACCACCAGCUAAGGUCCCAAAAUAUAUGUUAAGUGGAAAAGGAUGUGGCGUUGCCCAGACAACUAGGAUGUUGGCUUAGAAGCAGCCAUCAUUUAAAGAGUGCGUAAUAGCUCACUAGUCGAGUGACACUGCGCCGAAAAUGUACCGGGGCUAAACAUAUUACCGAAGCUGUGGAUUGUCCUUUGGACAAUGGUAGGAGAGCGUUCU